rnacentral:rRNA from 1 species
UACGUAGGGGGCGAGCGUUGUCCGGAUUUAUUGGGCGUAAAGAGCUCGUAGGCGGUUUGGCAAGUCGGGUGUGAAAACUCCGGGCUCAACUCGGAGACGCCACUCGAUACUGCCAUGACUCGAGUCCGGUAGGGGAGUGCGGAAUUCCUGGUGUAGCGGUGAAAUGCGCAGAUAUCAGGAGGAACACCGGUGGCGAAGGCGGUCUGCUGGGCAGUAGCUGACACUGAGGCGCGACAGCGUGGGGAGCAAACAGG